UACGUAGGGUGCAAGCGUUAAUCGGAAUUACUGGGCGUAAAGCGUGCGCAGGCGGUUUUGUAAGUCUGGCGUGAAAUCCCCGGGCUCAACCUGGGAAUUGCGAUGGAGACUGCAAGGCUAGAAUCUGGCAGAGGGGGGUAGAAUUCCACGUGUAGCAGUGAAAUGCGUAGAGAUGUGGAGGAACACCGAUGGCGAAGGCAGCCCCCUGGGCCUGCACUGACGCUCAUGCACGAAAGCGUGGGGAGCAAACAGG
rnacentral:rRNA from 1 species